GGAAACGCCAGGCUGGCCAGGCAGCCCACAUCCACCAGCAGCCCGGCGCGUCGGCACGGCGAAUUGGUGCUCCUGUGGCAGCGUCUGCAGACCAAUGCAGACAGUCGAGGAGUCGGUGUGCUGCAGGGAGUUGCACAAUGUGGAGGCACCGCUACACUGCCUACCGGCAAUUCACUUGGUGGGUUCACCAUAAGCUGGGGCGCGGUAACCGGGUGCCACUGCCCAGCUGCGCCGUGCAA
rnacentral:misc_RNA from 1 species